rnacentral:rRNA from 1 species
CGUAGCCGCGCGGUAAUACAGAGGGUGCGAGCGUUAAUCGGAUUUACUGGGCGUAAAGCGUGCGUAGGCGGCUAAUUGAGUCGGAUGUGAAAUCCCCGAGCUUAACUUGGGAAUUGCAUUCGAUACUGGUUAGCUAGAGUGUGGGAGAGGAUGGUAGAAUUCCAGGUGUAGCGGUGAAAUGCGUAGAGAUCUGGAGGAAUACCGAUGGCGAAGGCAGCCAUCUGGCCUAACACUGACGCUGAGGUACGAAAGCAUGGGGAGCAAACAGGAUUAGAUACCCCAGUAGUCCCUGUCUCUUAUA